UACGUAGGGUGCAAGCGUUAAUCGGAAUUACUGGGCGUAAAGCGUGCGCAGGCGGUUAUGUAAGACAGAUGUGAAAUGCCCGGGCUUAACCUGGGAACUGCAUUUGUGACUGCAUGGCUAGAGUUUGGCAGAGGGGGGUAGAAUUCCACGUGUAGCAGUGAAAUGCGUAGAUAUGACAUAGAACACCAAUUGCGAAGGCAGCUUACUACCCGAAUAUUGACACUGAGGCACGAAAGCGUGGGGAUCAAACAGG
rnacentral:rRNA from 1 species